UCUUUGCAGUUUAGUUACAGAUUGCUGAGCUGAAAUCAUUUUGGGCCAAUGGUGCACUAGAACUGAAGCUUCUCUACUACACGCUGAGCAGUUUGCAGAAUGGUUGGAGCUGCUCAUGGGACGGCUGGCAGAGCAGAGCGGCUGAUAGAGUGGAGCCGUUUGUGGGAUGGCUGGUGGACUGGAGUGGAGCAGAGCCCCGUGGAGAGGAGCAGGGGGUGUUCCAAAGGCUGAAGAGACGCUUGAAUGGAUCCUCACAGCUGCUCCCGCCCAGUGAGAGAGGAAAUCCAUGGGAGAAGGGAAGACAAUGUCUCACUCUCAGACCAAGCCUUUGAAGCUCCACCCUGGUGAAAGACCCUUGACUGCUCAUCACCCGUAGCAUGAAGACAAGAUGAGAGGCCUCUAGCGGGUACAAGAGUGACUCGGAGAUUCCUGGGUUCCACGGCUCCUGCUUUCCCUGCUCCCUUCAGGAGCCAUCUGCACGUGUUUGCGAAGGGUGCAGCUCACCCAUUGUCCCAGAUGUUUGCACCUCAAUAGGGUCAUUCCGUCCUAAGCACUGUCUCCUUGUCGCUGUCUGGUGCAUGGUGCUACAGGGCUUGUCAGCACUGGGGGCUCCACCUACUUACAGGCUCUCCUGACACAGCAGAUUUUCAUAGCACAACUCCACAAAAAGAACCACAGUCCAUCACGUGUCCUGCCAUAGCCCCAAACCAUACAGAUGCGGUGGGAAAACGGCAGCAGGAAGAGAAAUAGAUCCACGCAGGACCUGCCCCUGAGUAACUGACUUCAGUGCUGGGCGAUGGAGGAAAUGACCGGAACUGAUUGAAACACAAACACACACCCAGCGCCAGAAUGGUACAAUAUCACCGCCCAGCAGUGCAGACAAACCACUGAGGCCGAACAGGCAGUGUCACUGACUGACCUGGCUUCUUGCUUCUCCUCUCACUGUAUUUCUGCUUCUCCCCCGACACCAGAGGGGCAUGAGACACAGGAUGCUGGGGAGUCAAUGUGGCCAAGCAGAAAGCAGGUUGAGCCUGCACUGGGAAGUUACCUUGUCUAGCAGGAGAUAGGAAGCUAGGGCACUGGAGCAGGGGGAAGGGGAAAGGAAUGGACAUUACUCAGCGGAUCCUAAGCCCAUUGAAACUCUGGAGGGUGCACAGCUAGGGCGUGUUACUAGAAGUCAUUCUGAGCAAUGGGAGAAGUUAAAUAUAAGGCAAAGGGGGUGUGUGUAGAACAGUUUGUCCUCAGGGGCCUGGGAGGGGAAGGACAUCUGCUAAUUUCUUUCUUUUCAUUUGCUUUACUUCUUCUCCCUUAUCCUAAAGAUACUCAGCAUGGCAGUGGUGACACUUCUCCCCUGAAGGAAUGGCUCUGAGUCACUUUCCUUUGCUUCUUCCCACCUUUACCAGGGCAGCUAGCAGGGAGAGGAUCCUGACCAAUGGCUAUUUUCAUUCUUUUCUUUCUUAGUGUUUAGCCCUGGAAUCGGCCUUGCUUAGGGUGACCAUACGUCCCAUUUUGACUGGAACAGUCCCUUUUUUAGGCCCUUCCUCACUUUUUUGGCAAAAAUAUACCCAAAUGCGUGAAGCGGGGGCGAGCUGCAACGCCAGCCCAGCGCUGGAGGGAGAGCUCAGGAGAGUGGCUCGGGCCGGCCCCACACGCGAGUGGGCUGCAGGAGAGCACAGGCUGCCCCUGCACACCGGGAGGUAGGGGGACCUCAGGCUGGCCCCAUGUAGGUGGGAGGCAGGGAGGGCUGGGGCUGGCCCUGCAUGC